rnacentral:rRNA from 1 species
ACGAACGCUGGCGGCGCGCCUAACACAUGCAAGUCGAACGAGCAAAGAGGAGCUUGCUUCUCUGAGCGAGUGGCGAACGGGUGAGUAACGCGUGAGGAACCUGCCUCAAAGAGGGGGACAACAGUUGGAAACGACUGCUAAUACCGCAUAAGCCCACGGGUCGGCAUCGACCAGAGGGAAAAGGAGCAAUCCGCUUUGAGAUGGCCUCGCGUCCGAUUAGCUAGUUGGUGAGGUAACGGCCCACCAAGGCGACGAUCGGUAGCCGGACUGAGAGGUUGAUCGGCCACAUUGGGACUGAGACACGGCCCAAACUCCUACGGGAGGCAGCAGUAGGGAAUAUUGCACAAUGGGGGAAACCCUGAUGCAGCGACGCCGCGUGAGUGAUGAAGUAUUUCGGUAUGUAAAACUCUAUCAGCAGGGAAGAUAAUGACGGUACCUGACUAAGAAGCACCGGCUAAAUACGUG